CGCAUCUAAGCAACAGACAGUAAACAAACCGUUGCACGUUGUCAUUGACAUAGAGCUGGAGAAUGACUUGUGUUUACAGUGGGAAAAGAACGUAAUGCACCAGCACGACAUGUCGACUAGCUCUGUGUUUGAUGGCGCAGUCUUCAUGCCGUCGGAAAUGAAGCUUAUAGAGGAUUUCAAGCGAGACACACACCCUGAUAAAGUGAAUCUUGCUGGGAGGGAGUAUGUUGGAGAGCAUGGACACACCACAUGGCUUCCUCUUGUACGAAAAAUUAAGCAGCAAAUUGCCACAGAUCCAACUAUAAACCCCGAGUACCCACCCAUCCUUGGGAUCCCAGAAUUCACCAGGAGGGCAACUGAGCUUGCAUUGGGCAAAGAUAGCCCCGUCAUUGUUGAAAACAGGGUGUUUGGCGUCCAGACAGUAGGAUGUACUGGAGCAGUUCGUCUGGGCGCUGAGUUACUGAAAUCCUGGUACUGUUCAAGUUCUUCCUGGAGCGGACCCAUCCUGCUCUCCUCUCCCUGUGAUGACUCACUGACAGGCAUCUUUAAGGCAGCAGGGAUUGAGGAUGUGCGACAUUAUCGGUACUGGGAUGCAAAAUCCAAUGAAGUGUGUGUGGAAAACAUGGUGCAUGACUUGGAGAACGCUCCGGAACGGUGUGUAGUGGUUCUGUUUGCCUCAGGCCACCGUCCCACUGGUGCUAAUCUAUCUCAAGAGGACUGGAAACGUGUAGCUGAGGUCAUGAUGAAGCGCCGGUUGUUUCCAUUCUUCUUGAUGUCUGCCCAAGGCUUGUGCAGUGGGUCCCUUGAGCAAGACACCUGGUCUGUUCGUCAUUGUGUGUCUUUGGGGCUUGAACUGCUCUGUGCUCAAUCUUUUUCUCACAGCUUUGGCCUCUAUGGUGAGAGAGUGGGGCAUCUUCUCUGCAUCUUAAAGCAGAACAUGUUGGCCGUGCAAUCUCAAGCUGAGAAACUCGUUCAGACACUUUGGUCCUGCCCACCGAUGGAAGGGGCCAGGGUUGUUGCCACUAUAUUAAGUAAUCCUGCCCAUUUAGUUGAGUGCUGGGUGAACUAUCCCUUCAAGGUGCGGCUACUUUAAGGUGUGUUACUAGACGGCCACUGUUAUGAUUGGUUAACAUUAUUGCAUAGGAAACAGCAUCAACGCCCACUUGCUAUUGCACGUGAGUAAGCGUUUUGAAAACAUUAUCGAUAUAAAACUAUCAUUUACCGACAAAACAUUAUGAAAUCAUUUAUUUAUGGUUUGUGAUGCAGCUGCUGUCAAAUCCAAUACAGUUGUCUGAUUCAUCUUUCAACAAAAGUUUCUUUGUAAACUAUCAUUUACAGACAAAACAUUAUGAAAUCAUUUAUUUAUGGUUUGUGAUGCAGCUGCUGUCAAGUCCGAUACAGUUGUCUGCUUUAUCUUUCAACAAAAGUUUCUUUGUGAACUCUCCAUUACACCAUGCCUUUGUAAUGCUCCAAACAAACAUAUAAUCUUCUGACAUUACGCCAUUAAUAUAAAUCAACCACUUGUUCCUGACGCUCAAAACCUUUUGAAGUCUGUACAGAGAUGCAAAAGAGCUGGAAGCGUCAAAGAGAACAUUCAUUUUCUCUUCCAUUUGUCCUUUUGUCGACAGACUCAAGAGUGUGGAGUAUGUCAGAAGCUGAACGUGCAUCUGUAUACUGUAUCCAGUGUGGACAGCAUCAGUGAUUAUAAUGGGGUUCUAUUUGCUUUUCACGCAGUGCAACUGCAUCUGGUGCAGGAAGGUAUGAAGGCCAUUGCUGAACGCUGCAUGCUAAUCCGAGAACGUCUGCGUGAGAGACUGAGGAUUUUAGGUGGUCCGGAGCGUUGGGAUCACAUAAUAAAACCUGGAGGACUUUAUUGCUGUUUUGGAC